rfam:Callithrix jacchus chromosome 4, whole genome shotgun sequence
AUACUUACCUGGCAGUGAAGAUACCAUGAUCACGAAGAUGGUUUUCCCAGGGCGAGGCUUACCCAUUGCAUUCAGGAUAUACUGACUCCUGCAUUCACCCAAAUGUGGGAAACUUGAAGUAAGGAAAUGUGUUCACACCUUUCAAGA